CGUGCUUAACACAUGCAAGUCGAACGAGGCCCCUCCUUCGGGAGGGUGUUCUAGUGGCGAACGGGUGAGUAACACGUGGGCAACCUGCCCCCGGCUCUGGGAUAACCCCAAGAAAUUGGAAUUAAUACCGUAUGUGCCCUACGGGGGAAAGAUUUAUCGGCAAAGGAUCGGCCCGCGUUGGAUUAGCUAGUUGGUGGGGUAAUGGCCUACCAAGGCGACGAUCCAUAGCUGGUCUGAGAGGAUGAUCAGCCACAUUGGGACUGAGACACGGCCCAAACUCCUGCGGGAGGCAGCAGUGGGGAAUAUUGGACAAUGGGCGCAAGCCUGAUCCAGCCAUGCCGCGUGAGUGAUGAAGGCCUUAGGGUUGUAAAGCUCUUUCACCGGAGAAGAUAAUGACGGUAUCCGGAGAAGAAGCCCCGGCUAACUUCGUGCCAGCAGCCGCCGUAAAAC
rnacentral:rRNA from 1 species